rnacentral:lncRNA from 1 species
AGUUUUGAUCAUGUGAUCCAACAGUUGGCACAGACAAAAACUCGAUUGUUUCGAGUCGAGGGAAAAGUUUGGCUGUACUUCUUUCGUUGUCAAGUCACACUCAGUAUGGAUGAUAUAGAAAAUUUAAGAGAUACGCUGUUGAAGCAACGCAAAUGGGUACCGAAAUGAAGGCUGGGCCAAGAAUGGAAUGUCAUGACCAGCUUGCCUUAACCUAAGGGAACAUGAAAGGGAGCACAGUUGACAAAAGGAACGUUACAUGAAUGCAAGGACCAGCCCUAAAAUCACGGACUCUACUUAAGGAGAAUUCUUGACUUGGCAAUCUACCGACGCUAAAGGAGACGUCUACAAUGCAUUGCAGUACUCACGUAAAGGGUCAAGAAUGGUGUUGUAUUGGUCUGAGCCUUUCCACCCUUUGCGUCCCUUAAGAUUCUACACACCCGCUUCGAAACAUUGAGUUUGUAAUAUUUUCUAUAGCAAACACGCUAUUGGAUGCAGAGCGGGGACCAUUUCUAGGGUCAAAAUUAAGUAAAGAUGAAAGAGAUUCGCCUUCUCUAGCUAGCUUUGAAACCAAAGUCAACUAGCUAAAUCCUGUGGACUGUUUUACUGAUAGUUUUAAUUGCUCUGAAUAUAUUAUGCUGAAGGUAUCCAGUUCGCAUUGUUUUCAGUUUUAUGUGUGUCGUUGGCUGUUGUAAUUUAGUCGGGUGUUAAUAUCAUUGUACGUUCAUUCAUUAGAAUUUUGGUUCCAACGUCCCUAAUUAAAAGCUUAUCCUUGAUUGGAAUUAAAAACAGUUUUGUAGACUAGACUGUAGAUGUUUGGUAGUUAAACGUCUGCUAUGAGCUGAAAAACUGUAUUGAUUUUUUUUUGGGUGUGUGGGGGGGGGGGGGGCUUUCACUGACCAUAAUGUGGAAAUUGCACGGUGUGAAACUAUUUUCGAGGCAAUUGAAACAUGAACGAUUUCAGCUCUUAAGAUAGUCAUUUUCUCACUGCACUUGAAGUAAUAAGUUAAACCUUGACUUUUCUCUGUUCUGAUGUAAAGCAAACAGGAAGCAGUGAAGGCGCGAAAAUCAAGUCGGGAUAGACUCGUUACGUUCGCCGUUGAAUAGUUACCUUACAAUAAACUGAGCACAGUCCAUGUUUAUUUAGUUCUUGUUGGUGUUUUUUUUUUAUCAAGAAUCUAUUUGAGUCAUUUGCUGUUAGUGUCCAAAACACAUUCAAGCGCUGUCAUCUUCCUUUGUACUCUACUAGAGAGAACAUAUGCUAAUUUCUAGCGCGCUGAUUUCAACCAAUCAUAUACUUUGGUUAAUUGCCUCGACGUACUUCAUUGGUUAAUUGCUGAGCUUAGUUUGCAAAAAACAUACAUUAGAUAAAUAAAUGGCAGUAAGGGUUUCGCUUGGGCGCCAAAUACUUUUAUAGAAUUUAAGAGGCGAUUACUUGAGUUUGCCGUUCUUUGAGGAACCUACAGUCAGGAAAUAAUCGCAGUGGAACAUUUUGUAUUUUGUAUAUCCUCUCAGAUUACGAGGGUGGACCAUAUAGGUAAACAACGGCUUUUAUUGCACAUUUGAGGAUUUUAAACUUGAAAGGAGCCAGUCCUUCAAAAAUAUUUUACGUACAAAGCAUAAAUAUAUUUUAACGAGGAAAACCCUAAUAGAAACCCAUCAUAGAAAACUCCAUGAUAAACCAUUACUCAUAUAACUUCGGUUUCAAUCCCUCCCGCUCUCUUGGCAGCCUGUGAAAUAAAAGUAAAGAAAUCACACACUAAGACAUUACAGCUUUAAUUAGUCGUGUAAAAUAGAACCUGUACCAGGCUAGCAAGUAUUGAACACUUGCUGUGAUAAUAUUUUCAUUCGUUUUGAAAAUGAUCGUUUCAAACCCACUUUUAUUUAAUGGGGAAAAGUCAAUAAAUGAAGACAGCGAGAAGAACUUAAACCAAAA